rnacentral:lncRNA from 7 species
AUAGUGUUGGCAACCCAGGUGUAACAAAUUUCCAAGAUGGCUAUUAAUCAGGUUCUUAAGAUGAGACAAUAGGAUUCGCUUUCCUGAAUGUGAUCGGUGGCCGCCUGAAAGCAUUACUUUGUUUCCCUGGGGCUGUUUUGCAGGACAGAGGCAGGAGCCAAGCGUCGCUUUCAAGACAUUUUAUCACCUGUGUUACUCUGUUCCUUUAAAGUAGCGGCCAAUAAUCUGCAAUGGUAAAACACUUAGGCGCGUGAUAUGAAGCAGAAUAGAUCUUUGUGCAACUUUGAUAUACUUCAAGAUAUACUUCAAGUAUCUCGCUGUUAUGUUAGUUGGUUUCACGUUUCUCUUUUCCACCUCCCCCCCCCCCGCCACGUGGAGGGUCUCAUUGAAUUUUAGGCGAGGGGUAAAGAGAACAGGUGCGGCUUUUGGUGCUAAACAAAACAUUUUCUAUGCUGCAUCUCCAAUCAGGCUUCAUAAACCUGCGUUAAUGGGAUUGAUGUAACUCAAGGAGAACAGGAACUGCUAGGCAAAAACUUUAUUCUUUUCAAUUCGCAAAAGCUGGUGAUACAUGCAUUGUAUACUUAAUUACAAAAUGUAUCUGUCUGGAGCACAUUCUACACUUUUGCUAGUUGCAUACAUUGUGUCUAUUCUAUUCCUCUUUGUAUCACAGAACAUUACCGUCCAGGGUAUGAUGUCCUAUGUGAAGGGUUUUUGCAGUGCUUGGCAAAGUUCUUGGCCGAAGUAUGGAAAGUUUUAGAGUAUGGAGAGUAUUAGAACUUUUAAUCCCUUAGAAAAUGAAGAAAUGAACACCCUGGAGGCCUCACCAAG